UGUGCCCGUGUGUGCGCGCGCGCGUGUGUGUGUGUUUUAGAGUGUAUAAUAAAUGUCAUUUCUGCUUGUCUCUGCCCCUCAGUGUGUGUGCAGUGGUGGCUUUGGGCACCGGGCGUGGAUGGCCUUGGCACUCGAGCGGCCAGAUUUUAGUGGGAGUUGCGGUCUGACAUGGAUCUUUGGAGGGUUUAGGACGGAUUUAUGAGUGUGGAGGGCGAAACCUUCUCAGGAGGGAAAUGUGCGAAUCUCUGAGAAGCUUUUGGAGAUUUACCCAU